UAGAAAUUACCGCCGGGUAAUCAGCAUUGAAUAUGAAUCGGUAGGCCAAAGCAGAUUCAUAUCCAGUGCUUUUUUUGUU
rnacentral:ncRNA from 1 species